GUGUCAGCAGCCGCGGUAAUACGUAGGGUGCGAGCGUUAAUCGGAAUCACUGGGCGUAAAGGGUGCGCGGGUGGCUUGCCAAGACCCCUGUAAAAUCCUACGGCUCAACCGUAGUGCAGCGGAGGUUACUGGUAAGCUUGAGUAUGGCAGAGGGGGGUAGAAUUCCAGGUGUAGCGGUGAAAUGCGUAGAUAUCUGGAGGAAUACCGAAGGCGAAGGCAACCCCCUGGGCCAUCACUGACACUGAGGCACGAAAGCGUGGGGAGCAAACAGGAUUAGAAACCCGCGUAGUCC
rnacentral:rRNA from 1 species